rnacentral:rRNA from 1 species
UACAGGGGGUGCAAACGUUGCUCGGAAUUAUUGGGCGUAAAGCGCGCGUAGGCGGCUACUUAAGUCGGAUGUGAAAGCCCUUGGCUCAACUGAGGAAGUGCACCCGAAACUGAGUGGCUAGAGUACGAAAGAGGGUCGCGGAAUUCCCGGUGUAGAGGUGAAAUGCGCAGAUAUCAGGAGGAACACCGGUGGCGAAGGCGGGUCUCUGGGCCGAUACUGACGCUGAGGAGCGAAAGCGUGGGGAGCGAACAGG